UUUCACAUUUUUGCUGCUAGAUGGCUUCGGCUACGUAACGUAGCUGUUAAAUAAAAAACAACAUGGCGGACGCAACCGCAUAUUUAGUUUUACGCGAGUUCGGGACCAAUCUAACCUAAUCGGUUAUAUACAAUUUUGCUUACAAGUGAUUCAAGUGAUUACAAGUGAUUUAAAAUGGUGCAAAUGUGUUGUACUGUGUAUCAAAAGUUGUAAAGACAAAUACCGGACUGCUACAAAUGCAUCUUCUUAACGAUUUCCUAAAAAUCCAGAUUCGAGGAAGCAGCGGAUACAAAGAAUAAUGGUAGAACAUUCGACUCGUGCAUGUGUCUGUUUGAAACGUUUCGCUUAUUAAUGACCGAGUAUUCAAAUGUAAUGCUGUAACACAUGCCGAACGAAACGUUGUAUCCAAACAUAGCACAUGCAAGGAUUAAAUGUAGACAGUGUUUCAGCGAUUGUACCAGAAAAUUAAGCUUUAAGCUUAGAAACUGAAAAGAUGUCUUCGAUAAGGAUGCGGAAAGCAUAUGUUGGCGAUUUCCAGAAUUUGGAUAUACCAAGUGAUCGUGAUAAUUAUACAGACGUUGUUAAUGCAACAAUUGUUAAGAAAAAUAAAAGAAUAUAAAUAUUA